rnacentral:rRNA from 1 species
ACAAGCGGUGGAGCAUGUGGUUAAUUCGACGCUACGCGAAGAACCUUACCUGGGCUUGAACUGCUGGUGGUAGGAGCCCGAAGGGUAACGACCCGGAGCAAUCCGGGAGCCAGCAGAGGUGCUGCAUGGCUGUCGUCAGCUCGUGUCGUGAGAUGUUGGGUUAAGUCCCGCAACGAGCGCAACCCUUGCCCUUAGUUGCCAGCGGGUAAUGCCGGGCACUCUAAGGGGACUGCCUGGGAUAACCAGGAGGAAGGCGGGGGAUGACGUCAAGUCAGCAUGGCCUUUAUGUCCAGGGCUACACACGUGCUACAAUGGGCGGUACAAAGGGAAGCAAAACCGCGAGGUGGAGCAAAUCCCCAAAACCGUCCUCAGUUCGGAUUGCAGGCUGCAACUCGCCUGCAUGAAGUCGGAAUCGCUAGUAAUCGCGGAUCAGCUACGCCGCGGUGAAUACGUUCUCGGGCCUU